UAAUGAUGAUAGAAAAAAGGAAGCUUUGUUGGACCAAAGCUCCCCCUUGUAGAGCCGUAUAAGACGGUGUAUGACUAUUGGUUAAAUA
rnacentral:sRNA from 1 species